rnacentral:rRNA from 1 species
CCUACGGGAGGCAGCAGUGGGGAAUAUUGGACAAUGGGCGAAAGCCUGAUCCAGCCAUGCCGCAUGAGUGAAGAAGGCCUUUGGGUUGUAAAGCUCUUUUAGUGAGGAAGAUAAUGACGGUACUCACAGAAGAAGUCCUGGCUAACUCCGUGCCAGCAGCCGCGGUAAUACGGAGAGGGCUAGCGUUAUUCGGAAUUAUUGGGCGUAAAGGGCGCGUAGGCGGAUUAGUAAGUUAAAAGUGAAAUCCCAAGGCUCAACCUUGGAAUUGCUUUUAAAACUGCUAAUCUAGAGAUUGAAAGAGGAUAGAGGAAUUCCUAGUGUAGAGGUGAAAUUCGUAAAUAUUAGGAGGAACACCAGUGGCGAAGGCGUCUAUCUGGUUCAAAUCUGACGCUGAGGCGCGAAGGCGUGGGGAGCAAACAGGAUUAGAUACCCUGGUAGUCC